GCGCCCGUGGCUCAACUGGAUAGAGCAUCAGACUACGAAUCUGAGGGUUAGGAGUUCGAAUCUCUUCGGGCGCGCCA
rnacentral:tRNA from 1 species